UACAGGGGGAGCAAGCGUUAUCCGGAAUGAUUGGGCGUAAAGCAUUCGUAGGUGGUAGGUGAAGUCUACUGUCAAAUACCAGGGCUCAACCUUGGACAGGCAGUGGAGUACUCAUUUACUAGAGCGUGGUAGAGGUAGAGGGAAUUCCCCGUGGAGCGGUGAAAUGCGUAGAGAUGGGGAAGAACACCGGUGGCGAAAGCGCUCUACUGGGCCAAGGCUGACACUGAGGGAUGAAAGCUGGGGGAGCAAAUAGG
rnacentral:rRNA from 1 species